AACGACCGGCCGGUCACGUGCGUGUCCGGCCCACAAGUGGAGGCUCCCCAGCUCCCACCUUCCGACCCCCCGGGCCGGCAGGUCAUCGGUCAGGCUGCGCCCCGCGGUGAUAUCGCGGCGGUGCUCCCGGUCAAUGAGGAGCCCCGCCUGUGUACCGUCCGGGGCGUUUUUU
rnacentral:ncRNA from 1 species